UAGAAAACUCCAGAAUAAGGACCUCACUCC
rnacentral:piRNA from 1 species